rnacentral:rRNA from 1 species
UACGUAGGGUGCGAGCGUUAAUCGGAUUUACUGGGCGUAAAGGGCGCGUAGGCGGCCACCGCAAGUCGACUGUGAAAUCUCCGGGCUUAACCCGGAAAGGUCAGCCGAUACUGCGGGGCUAGAGUGCAGAAGGGGCAACUGGAAUUCUCGGUGUAGCGGUGAAAUGCGUAGAUAUCGAGAGGAACACCUGCGGCGAAGGCGGGUUGCUGGGCUGACACUGACGCUGAUGCGCGAAAGCUAGGGGAGCGAACGGG